rnacentral:lncRNA from 1 species
AUUAGUGACUCCCGCAGAAAAUAGUGAAAAUAAUUAUCUAAAAAUAAGAAACAUACAUACAAUCGCAGGCAAUAAAAUCGUGCAGUAACUAUCAUAACUAACAGCCACAGGAGGCACACGCUAACACACAAAUCGUCUAUGAGAAAACCUACUGACGUGUGAAGGACUCUAGGAGCCCCUAACCUACUGAUUCUGGAUCUCCAGACGCUCCUAUCAAGGGUCAUGUCCUCGGAAACUUGCAUUCUA